AACCGCGUACAUCAUGGCCUGGGCCCCUCUCCUCCUGCUUCUGCUCUGCUACUUCUCAGGUUCCCUCUCCCAGCCUGUGCUGACUCAGCCGCCCUCCCUCUCUGCCUCUCCUGGAGCAUCAGCCAGAAUCACCUGCACCCUGAGCAGUGGCUUUGUUGUUAGCGGCUAUCACAUGUCCUGGUACCAGCAGAGGCCAGGGAGUCCUCCCCGGUAUCUCCUGAGAUUCAAGUCUGACUCAGAUAAGCACCAGGGCUCCGGGGUCCCCAGCCGCUUCUCUGGAUCCAAAGAUGCCUCAGCCAAUGCAGGGAUCCUGCACAUCUCUGGGCUGCAGGCCGACGAUGAGGCUGACUAUUACUGUUGCACAUAUCAUGGUAACACUAACACUUACACAGUGCUCCAGACACAGGGGGAAGUGAUACUAAAACCUCCCCUGUGUUCUCCCUGCCUGGCGCAGACACUGCUGUCCUGCCUGGGGCUGAAUCAAGCUAAGGAUUGA